rnacentral:rRNA from 1 species
UACGUAGGGGGCAAGCGUUGUCCGGAUUUAUUGGGCGUAAAGAGCGUGUAGGCGGCCAAACAGGUCAGCUGUGAAAACUCGAGGCUCAACCUCGAGACGUCGGUUGAAACCGUUUGGCUAGAGUCCGGAAGAGGAGUGUGGAAUUCCCGGUGUAGCGGUGAAAUGCGCAGAUAUCAGGAAGAACACCCGUGGCUAAGGCGGCUCUCUAGUACGUGACUGACGCUGAGACGCGAAAGCGUGGGGAGCGAACAGG